UUUAGAUUUCAGACUCUUCUCCUAGCCAAUUUCUUUUCCUUUUAGCAACUUCUAACAUUCUGGGUCUUUAUCGAUGAAAUGGCAGGAAUUCAGUUAGAACUGAAUAAUCUUUUCUCCUAAGUUGCUUUUCUACUCAAGACGUUGACUUCUGAGGGACUGUGUCAUCAGAGCAUUUUCUCAUUGGGAGGUUUAUUGUCCCACAAAUGGAUUAUUUGAAGGGCGAUCUUUUAGCUAAGGUAUAAAAAUGGAGUCACGAGAAAAACUUCUCACCUUCACUCACCUUCCUCAAUUGGAUGUGAGGUCAGCAGAUGCAUGUCAGGGAUCAAUCAUGGCUGUGAGGAAGGUGCAGGAGACAUCAGGAAUGAGUCAUCAAGAAAAGCUGCUGUGGGGUUUCCAAAUUUCUACAAAUGGUUAUUGGAACCCAGAGCCAAGGAAGAGAGGACAACAACUUGCUUCCCAGGAGCUCCAGUCAGAAUGGAUUAUUACAAAUUUAGAGAUGGAAGAGACUUUACAGUCAGGUCCCAUGUGGAUUGAUGAAAAAUGUGGCAUUCUGAGAAAAGAAAAAGGAAACUGGUCCAAUCAGCACUGCAGCUGAGAACACUGUAAUGAACUGACUCCACCCUCCAGAGCACAGUGCCACAUGGCAGAAACAAAAGACCAUUUAAUAAUUUUUCAGAAGGCAGACUUUACUCUAGGCUUUAGCUCAUUACUUGUGGGUCUAAAGGGUCUGCACGUGUGCUUGGGCAUUUGGUCGCAGAAGGUUGUUUAGAGCCACACUUCACUAAAAUCCCACUCUGAUGCCUCUCUGUGGCAUGGACAGGAGUGACCUUGGUUUGGAGGGGGCAGAGAAGGGCAGAGGUUCCCUGGAGCACAAUCUCUUGAAGGUCAUACCAAGAGGCAAAGGCUUCAGGUUCAAGUUCGAUGUCUGUGUUUGCCAUUCAAAGGCUGGCGAGGCUUUUGAAAGAAGAUGGGCCACCAGGGAACGAACUUGUUUGGUCAUGGAAAUAACAUCAUCUACUAAAGGUGCAUAUAUGUUUGGGACUUCAGGAGAUGCUGUGCUCUGUCAGUGAAGGGAAAACGAUUUCAAGUGUGUCUUAAAAAUAUUUGAAUUUUACUCUCUUAAGCAUUAUUAAGGGGUGAAUUCAGGAUUCCCACUUAGGUCUUCUGAUUUCAAAUCUUCUGGCUGAUUAUGCUAUGCAGUGUCACCCUGGAAGGGUGUGCUGGUAAAUGUUUAACAACCAGCUUUCUGGGGGGAAAGAAAAGCAAUCAUGAUAUACUUUUAAAGUUUAAUCUUCAUUAUCACCAUUUUCUCCAUUACUUUUUUAAAGUGUACAUAAUCAACAAAAUAAUAAAUCCUCAUAUAGAUAAUUAGAAUAAAAUAGU
rnacentral:lncRNA from 1 species